CUUCCGGGUCGUCUCCAGGGACAGGUACUCCACCCAGCUCUUCUUGUCCUGGUAGUUCUUGGACUCAUCCACGAUCUUCUGAAACAUCGCUCUCUUCCUGAACCCAGGGAACAAGGGAGGUGCAGUGCUCACACACCCAGUGCUCACCCGCUGCAUCAGAACCCUGCUCCGCAGGAUACGGCCCUGCCGUCCUGCGGACGCUGCGUCCCCAGCGCCCACAGCAGAAACCGAGGGUUGUUGGUGCCGCGGUGGUCGAUGUCAUGGCACAGGCCGGCUGUCACCAUGGCGAAGGCCUCCAGGAACCGCACCAGGACCUGGGGGAGCCGAGAGGACACAGGGCUCCGGCGGCAAGCGUGUAAGUCCCGCCAGAGCGGCACCUGUGGCUGACUUCACAGUGGAAGCCCUGCUCCGUGCCAUCAUCCCCACACCGUCUCCUGGACUUCCCGAUCUUCCCCAUCCCUGCGUUUCCCACUGGCCUCUGCUGGCCUUCCUGGGUAGGGGCUGCCACAUUGGCACCUAUGGGGUGGAGCCAGGUAGGGCAGGAGCUGAGAACAGCCCCAGCCUUCAGGGGCCGCCCAGCCUCCAUCCGACUGCCUGGCCUCAAGCUGGGAGGAGGACCCCUGGGGAUGCAGCAUAUUUUAAGAUGUUGGUUUUAGGCAUGGACAUUUGAAUGAGCAGAAUGUGUGGGCUGCAGGCUGGGGUGGGAGAACCGAUGUCCGCAGGGCAAGAGAAUGCUGGUCUCUCUUGCCCUGCGGACAUCGCCAGGAGGCUCUUCCUGCGGCCAUUGUGAUUUUUAGGGUCAGAAAAUUAUUUGGAAAUAUUUUUUAUUCUGCAAAUAUUUUCUAUACAUUUUUUCUUGAGUGUUUUCCCUUAGUAUUUAGUAAAACUUCUUUUGAAAAUGCUGGCCUGCUGCACCUGUUCUCAGAGGGGCAUGAGAAAAGAGGAUUCUCUUCCUAGGGCUGUGGGAAGCCCCUUGAGAUGUUGGAAGCAGGGCAGGGCAGGAGAACCCAGGGAGGGCACAGAGCUGUGGACGAGGGCUGGGAAAGCCAUCCCGCCUCCCCAGGGGGUCUCCGAGGAGUGCUGCUGUGGCCAAACCAGGGGGGCCACUUUGUGCUUUCUGUUUAGGUGAUGGGAUGCUUCUAUCUCCUCAGCACCCCACACCAAAUCCCCUGUUAUUGCCAGAUGAUGUGCCUAAUGAUCAAAUUGCUUGGAACUCCUAAUAAUAAAACUUUAAAUCUAUCCAUUCACCAUCCAUCUGCUGUCCACCCAUCCAUUCACCCAUUCAUUGACCCAUCUAUUAAUUCAUUAAUUGACCCACCUACUCAUCUAUCACUCAUCCACCCACUUCUCCAUCCAUCCACCUAUCCAUUCACUUAUCCAACCAUCUAACUACCAUUGGCCCACUCACCCAUCCAUCCAUUUAUCCAACCAUCCAACUACCAUUGGCCCACCCACCCAUCCAUUUAUCCAACUAUCCAACUACCAUUGGCAUCCACCCAUCCAUUCAUUUAUUCUUCCUUUGUUUCUUUCUGCUUGCCUGUUGGCCUUCCUUCCUUCCUAACCUCCCUCCUUCCUCCCUGCUUUUCACCCAUCCAGCCAUCCAUCAAUCCAGCCAUCCACCCAGCCAUCCAAUUAUUUGUUUUAUGCUUACUUCCCGUGUGCAUUUUACCUGUUCUGUGAUGAACAUGUCGGCCCUCUAAACUUCCUGUGGGAUCUGGAACCCCCAAUCCCAUCCCCCUCACCUUCUGGGGCACCUGAGGCCCUGAUCACAUCCCCACCCCCAUGUCCUGGGCGGCCUCAGGGACCUGACUAUGCGCCCUGCGGUGUCUCCCACCUCCUGGGGGAUCUGGAACUUUCGGACCACGCCCAGCUCGUAGUACAUCUGGAUGCCACAUUUGACCAGGUCCAGUUCGGUGCACUCCAGAUCCCCUGCCAAGCCUCAGACACCUCAGGCAUCUCUGAGGAGAUGUGUCAUUCCUGGCGCUCCAGCCUGUAUCCCAGGCUGCUCACACGCCCCCCUGGCUCAGCCUCACUCUCCCCUCUUGUACCCUGUGGCCCAACAGUGAAGAACUUGCCCAGUUGGGUGGACAGGGUGAUGUUGUUGAGACAAGAAAACACAAAGGUGUGCACAUGAAAAGAAACACACACACACACGGAUACAGACACACGUGACACAGGCACACCUGGAUACACGGCCACUCCCAUGAAUACAAAGGCACCGGUGUGGACACACAGGCACACACAUGAGCACCCAGGCACACCCACAGACAUGCAGGCACACACGUGCAGACUCACGCAUGUAGGCUCACACACACAGCCAUGAGGUAACACACACAACAGUGGACUUUCAGACCCACCAGGCACAUUCCCAUGCUCAGUCCAAGGCCUACUCACAAGGCUCGUGGCCCCGGGAGAUUCUGGCUAAAUUGCAUAGGCAGACACAGGGUGAUGGGGACACCACAUAAUCCCCACAUUGAUCCAGCAAUCGUCUCUAGGAGACACACACAAGCAUGUGUCUAUAUAUAUCCAUGUGCACACACAUGCACACACAAUACACACCCCCUGUGCACAUGUGAGCACACACACAUGGGUGCACACACGGGCACACACACACAAACGCCCAUGUGCACACACAUGCACACACAUACUCGUGGGCACACAUGUGCACACACAUGUGUACACAUGUGCACAUUCAUACAAUGCACACACGCACACACAUACCCACAUGUGCACACACACACCCACAUGUGCACACAUGUACACACCUGUGCAGACGCCCACGUGUGCACACACACCUACAUGCACACACACGUACACACUUGUGCACACACAGACACCCACAUGUGCACACACAUGCACACAGACACCCAUGUGCGUGCACACAUGCGGAUGCACACACACUGGGAGUUGCAGGCACCUAGGCACUCUGAGAGCAGAGAUGACAUAGAUGGACACAGAGUCCAAGUCAGGCCCACUAAACAUCCGGUGAAAACUAAACAUCUGGCAAAGCACAGAGGAGACAGGAAGACACGAAGAUACACUCAGGAGUGCAGACAUCAAAGCCACAUUCUGGCCAUGCAAACACACUCAGGGACACACUGGCUGAGACUGAAAGCCAGGCUUAUGUACACACACGUACACUAAGGUGCUUAGAUACACAAGUAUACACACACAGCACCAACAUCCCUGAUGACCGUGUGUGCAAAGCACCGUCGGGUCCCGGAGAAUGCAGAACUCUUCCUCCCAGCCUCACACGUGGCCGGCCUCCAUGGGAGGGACGGGAGCAAGGUUCUUACCAGGAUUUCGCCCAGCUCGUCCUCAUCGCAGUCAGCAGGCUCCUUCCCCAGGCGCGCUCUGGUUGGCUACACAGAGACACAGAUGUGUCACGAGAAAGAGCUUCGCAUGUGGGACAAGGUGACGGCGGUGCGUCCACCCCGUGUGAGCUAGAGGAAGGUGCUGUCAAGAGCUUGUGCUUUCACCCUGGGAAGGCCCUGGCGGCCUCUGAUCUGGAGACAAAUGACCGUGUGCAUGGCCUGCUGACUUUCCCACCUGUCCUCUCUCGGGCACUGCCUUACGCAGUCCUCAGAGCCAUGACCUCUGGGUGACCCCUGGAUGGACCCCUGGACGACCUGCCCCCACCACACAGCCGUGACCCCUGGAUGACCUGCCCCCACCGCACAGCCAUGACCCCUGGGUGAGCCCUGGAUGACCUGCCUCUGCUGCACAGCCAUGACCCCUGUGACCCCUCAAUGGACCCCUGGACGACCUGCCUGUGCCACACAGCCAUGACCCCUGGGUGACCCCUGGACGACCUGCCCCUGCCGCACAGCCGUGACCCCUGGGUGACCCCUGGACGACCUGCCCCCGCCGCACAGCCAUGACCCCUGGCCGAGACCCCUGGGUGACCCCUGGACGACCUGCCCCUGCCACACAGCCGUGACCCCUGGGUGACCCCUGGACGUCCUGCCCCGCCGCACCAGGAUGAGCUGGAUCUCGUCCCUGUCGCACUUCACGUGGUAAAGGACCAUGUCCUGUGCGAUGUCCUUGCGGUUCUCCAGCUUGUUCAUCUUGUCGUAGGUGUCGGUGUUCAUCACUGACCAGCCCAGGAACUGUGUCAGGGACUGGAGGGGAUGGCAGUGUCACUGGCGCUCAGCGCUCCCGGCGCGCCCCCUCCCAUGUGCCUGUGUGCCAGGCCCCGUGGCUCGGCGGGCAGGUCCUGGGGCUGCCACCAUGGUGUCGCAGUGCUUCUGUGUGGGGUCUCCCGGGUGCUCUGCAGAGGCUCCUGCUCCCGGGGGGGCCCUUUGUCGUCCUCUCCCUGGCCGCAUGCAUACCGCACACACAUGAGCACACGCACACAGCCGAAUGCUUGGCGGGGAGGCCCCCACACCGCACAGGCCCCACCCCUCGCAGGGCAUCCCCGGCGGAACCACGUCUGCCCAGGUGCUUACCUCCAUGAGAACCUCGUCCUGUUCGUCAAAGGGCUUCCCGUCUUUCCUGUUGUAAAAUGUGGCGACUCCCACAAUCUCCUCCUUCUUGUUGACGAUGGGCAUGGACAGCACAUUCUUGAUGAGCCACCCGGAGUCGUCCAGGGCCCCUUCCUGCGGGAGCGGUGUCCAGAGCUGAGCUCCGCCCUGAGGCUGGCCCUGGCCCGGGCGUGUGGCCGGGGAGAGUGACCUCAUGUCUUCUCCCCUAGAGCCGUGACGGCUGGGCUCGUGUUCCUGUCUCUGCUCUCUGCAUUCCCUCUCUCCCUCUCUGCAUUUGGAGUUUGUGUCCAUGGUUUUUGUGUCAUGAUAUUUUCCCACCGGAGGAGGUAGAGGCCGUUUUCCCACCAGGAGUGGUUUCAUGGGCAUGUGUGUGGGGCGGCGGUCACGGCCUCGCAGGGGUGUGUGGGGGCCGCGGUCACGGCCUCGCAGGGGUGUGUGGGGGCCGCGGUCACGGCCUCGCAGGGGUGUGUGGGGGCCGCGGUCACGGCCUUGCGGGCGUGUGUGGGGGCUGUGGUCACAGCCCCAGGUGAUCCACCCGCCUCAGCCUCCCAAAGUGCUGGGAUUACAGGCGUGAGCCACCAUGCCUGGCUGAAGUUGUUUUUUAAGUGGCAAAAACGAAUUCACUUCAUCAUCGCUGAAUCAAAAUCUCCUCUUUUGUAAGUAAGUAUAAUUUCUACCAAGGCACAGACAGAUACCUGAAAUUUGAACAUUUCGUCAGCGGAAGCAUUCAUGAUGUUACAAAUCUGAAAAAGCAUCAGAAAAACGAUUUCAUCCAAAACAGCGGAAGGUCUGUUAUGAUCUAAAAUGGCCUCUGUGGCCCUGAGGUGAGCUUUUAAGUAGGUAAAGCAGGGCAGCUGGGGGCUUCACUGAGGCACGUGGAGCUGGCCGGGAGGGCGGGACGUGGCAGAGACAAGGAGAAGCACACAUCGCCGCACCCAGUGAGGGCAAGGCUGUGGGGACUCCAGACAGCACGGGACUCACAAAGCCGCUUUCUGCCACGUAGCUUGGAAGGCCGCUGGCCAGGGCCCAGUGAUCGGCUGAGGGUGUGCUGUGGGCAGAGAGCAGGGGUCAGAUAGGCCACGCCGGGCUGGAUGUGCGCGUGCAGGAGUCAGAGGGACUGGAUGUCUGUGUGCAGGGGUGAGAGGGGCUGGUCUAGGCUGCACGUGUGUGUGCAGGGGUCAGAGGGGCUGGUCUGGGCUGCACGUGUGUGUGCAGGGGUCAGAGGGGCCAGGCUGCGCUGGAUGUAGGUGUACUGGGGUCAGAUGGACUGGGCGUGUGUGCAGGGGUCUGGGGGUCUCUGGCUCAUGUGCCAUCCUCAGCAUUUACUCUCUUCUCUGAGUGCCAGGGGGUUCAGGAGGCGAGGAGGCCAGGGCGUGGGUUGGAGGACGGCUGUGCUGCCUUCUUCCUCCUCCCCAGGCUGCCGUGCUGGGGCCCCUCCCUCUUGGGAACCCCUCCCUCUCCGGAGGCCGUAUGGCUUCAGCCUGCUUUCUAGGACUCAGCGUUGGUGCCUGCCCUGCCACCCUGACCCUGACUUGUGCUCAAGCCUGGCACCUGGAUCCUGGUUCCUGCUUGGGGCCUGGGGAUGGGGUCCCAAUAGGCUUAUGGGAUCACAGGGCCACUGGGCCACCAGCUGCCCCUCCCUUGGCUGGAGUCCUGCCCUGACCUCCGGACUGGAGUUCCCCUCCUCUUCCAGCCCCACGGGGCCAAGACUCGGCCUCCUGGCUGGAGGCUCCACUGUCUGGGUGGGGCUGGUGGUGCCAGGGUCAAAUCCUGGGGCCUUCAUGCUCAAUUGUUGCUGACGAGGCCGCCUGGACAGCUUGCCUGGUCCCCUGUAUGUCCACUCUGGAUGUCCACAGUGACUCGGGCUCCUCAGCAGCCCACGUCCUCCUCACCAUCUCCCAGAACAGAGGCCCACGGAGUACCGCUCGCAGUUGAGGUAGGCCCGCACCGUGUAGAAGGCCUUGUGGAACUGCCUCUCGAUGUCCGUCAGCUCCUCAAACACCUUGUUGGCCGACCACAGCAGCACCUGGAGGGAGGGGCACACCUGUGGGCCUGUGGCCACUCCCACCCUCACGCCGGUCUGACCACAGCAGCAGGGGUUUAACUCAAGCCUGACACAGGUUUCAUCUGAGCUUGUGGGGCCCGGGAGCUGGCUGGCGGUGAGGCCUCGAGGCUGCGGUCGUGUCCCUGAUCACUCAGGAGUGGACGAGUGGAAAGUGGAAUCUGUCGCUUUGAGCUUGACAGGCAAACAUCCGACCAGCCCUUCCUCCGCCCGGCUGCUCCAGAACCACCUGCGGCGAGCAGGGCUUUGAGAACAUCGGGCCGUGGUUUCCGCACGUCAGGCCGCCUGUGGCCUCCGCCAAGCGUCUGAGAGUGAAGCAUUGCUGACGCACUCCACGAGGUCCUGGCCAGACCCCACUCAGGACAUCCCGCUGCACAGGCCCCUGGUUGCUGGGUCAGCGCUGCCACCAGGCUCAGACUCACCCCAGGGCCCUCCUUGGGCCACCUUUCUCUGCCUCCUUGGUCAAGGCCCAGACCCAGGCCCCACCAGGCCCUGCCUCCUCACACUCGCGGCGGCCGCUGGGUCUUCUACCGCAUGGUGCCAGCUCCCUCUCCUCCGCUGCGGUGUCCUAGCCCAGCUCUCUCCCUGCCAGGCCCUCUGAAGUUCCACCCCCUGGCACUCAGCUCAUGGUGGGAACAGGACCAGGCUCUCCUGUUGCCAAGGGCAGUGAGAUGUUCGUAGCUUUAUUUCCCAGUACAUUGAUUUUACUGAUUUUAGUUUAUCUUCAGUUGAAUAAUUGUGUGUAUUGAUGGGGUUUAUGUUUUAUGGGGUUUGGCGUGAUGUUCUGAUGUAAGUAUUUGUUGCAGAAAGAUUCAAUUAAGCUAAUCAACAUAUCCAUCACCUCACCAACUUGUUUUUUUUGUGGUGAGAACAUUACAAGUCUAUUUUCUAGCAAUUUGGUAUACAAUACAGUCAUCCCUCGGCAUCCUCAGGGAAAUUGGUUCCAGGACGCCGCUCUGAUAACAAAAUCCGAGGAUGUUCAAGUCCCGGAUGUGAAAUGGCCUAGAGUUUGUACAGAGGUUGCACACGCACCCCCAGGACUUCAAAUCAUCUCCGAUGACUUAGCACCCAGUGCAAGGCAAGGCCAUGAAAACGGCUGUUCUACUGUAUUGUUUUACAUUCUUAUUCUUAUUUUUAAUUUAAAACUUUUCCCACAUCAUAAAUCCUCGGAAG
rnacentral:lncRNA from 1 species